rnacentral:lncRNA from 1 species
CGCCCUUGCCCGCACAGGUGUGGCACCCGCCCGCCCCGCCGCACGGAGCCGCCUGCCCGCGGCCACACGCCAGGCGUCACUCGGGCUGGCGCCGGUCUACCUAGGCAGGCGUGGGACCUGUCGGGGGCUUCACGGCAGCGCGGAAGGCCAGCCUGCAGAGAGGCUGGGCCCAGCGCCCUGACUGACCCAGCCCCGCCACGUCCAAGGUUCCCGCCCUCUGGAGGAAGCCGCGCAAUCACUCCGGGGGCGGGGAGAGACAGACAACUGAGAGGAAGGAGGUACCACGGGCACUCUCUCGCGAGAGGGCCGCAGAGCCGCCUUUGACGGGGGCGUGUACCUGGAGAGCAACGCAGGCAAUCAAGCUGGCUAGGUUCCUGCCACAAGUUCAGACUAGUCUUCUGUAGGAGCCUAUGAGGUUGGUCCUAUUUUUACUCUCACUUAUCCCUACUUACCAGAUGAGGAUCCUGAGGCUCAGAAAAAGUGGAUGGAAAGCCGAUUUCCAGUCUUUAUGAUAACGCCGAUGUUCCACUUGGGAAAGAUACUGUACAACAAUGAAAGUAGCCCUUUCUUUUGUCUUUCAAAGAAUGUAUUUUUAACAAACAGCCUCUGUGUGAUCCUUUUGACCACACAAUUUGUAGAGUUAACGCUGAAAUUUUCAUUAGCAACAAUGAAAGCACACACAGGCACAAUAUUAAUAUAGAUUAAUAUCAGCCUAUUUUGGUCAGAAAGGCUCAUUUAAAUGUUUAAGAGACAGAAGUCCCAAAUUGUAGUAAUUUCUUCCACUAGCAGGAGGAAGCUCAGAAUUAGUUUUUCUACAACACUAGAGGAAUACUACUCAAAAAUAAAAAGGAAUUAACCAUUGAUACAUGCAACAACACAGAUGAAUCUCAAAGUAAUUGUGCUGAAAGAAACCAGACCCAGAAAAAGAUAAAUUCUAUAUGAUCUCAUUUAUAUAAGACUCUAGGAAAUGCAAACUAAUCUACACAUACAGAAAACUGAGGGCAGGUACUGAGAAGGGUAGGAGGGGGGCGUUACAGAGAGGCAUGAGGAAACUUUUUGGGGUGAUAGAUAUGUUUACUACUUUGAUUGUAAGGAUGAGGUCGCAACUCUGUGCGUGUCAGUGGUAUAUUUUAAUAUGAACGGCUUAUUUUAUGUAAAUUCUACCCCUAUAAAGCUGUUUUUUUUAAAAAAAAAAACUUCUCUUUGAGAGACAUCACCUUUGUCUUUUAAACCAUCUAAUGUUGAAUCUAAAAGUUCAGUGUAAAGUUUAAUAAAAUCAGAGUGUGUAUGUGUCUUAAUUUCCAGGACAUAUAAUCAUAGUGAUUAAGCCAAAAGUGCUUAUAUGAUUACCUAUAAACUAUCAUAGUUAAAUGACUAAAUACCCUGCAUAAGGUAAAAUGAUUAUUUUAUUCCUAUAGAUUGAAAUUGCCCAACUUUUUAUUAGAGAAUAAUAGAUUAGAGGGCAUGUUGGCUCAUACCUGUAAGCCCAAUGCUUUGGGAGGCUGAAGCGGGAGGAUCCCUUGAGGCCAGGAGUUGAAGAUCAGCUUGGGCAACAUAGCAAGACCACAUCUCUACAAAAAAAUUUAAAAUAAAAUGUUUAUCCAAGCAUAGUGGCACUCACUCACCUGUAGUACUAGCUGCUGAGGAAGCUGAGGCCUGGAGUUCAAACUGCACAACGCUGCACUUCAACCUAUGUGACAAAGUGAGAUCCUAUCUCUAAAAUAAUUAAUUCAGUUUUUAUAAUUAGGGAACAUUUAAAUUCAGAUUAUAAGUAAAAAAUGGAAUAAACAGUCCUGUUACCUGAUAUGGUUUGGAUCUCCAUCCCUACCCAAAUCUUAUGUUGAAAUGUAAUCCCCAAUGCUGGAGGUGGGGCCUGGUGGGAGAUGAUUGGAUCAUGGUGGUGGUUUCUCAUGGUUUAACACCAUCGUCCCCUGGUGCUGUCGCCGUGAUGAUGAAUUCUCACGAGAUCUGGUUGGUUUAAAAGUGUGUGGCACCUCCCCCUUCUCUCUUGCUCCUGCUCCUACCAUGUGAGAUGCCUUGGUCCCCCUUUGCCUUCCGCCAUGAUUCAGAGUUCUCUGAGGCCUCCCCAGAAGCAGAUGCUGCCAUGCUUUCUGUACAGCCUGCAGAACCGUAAGCCAAUUAAACCUCUUUUCUUAUACAUUACCCAGUGUCAGAUAUUUCUUUAUAGCAGUGUGAGAAUGGAUUAAUACACUACGUCAUGCAAAAUGUAAAAACAGGCAACUCACUGAGAGUAAACCUAAUCAACUUGUUCAUUUAGAUAUAAACUGUAGAGACGACACUGCCAUCUAGUUGUUGAAUACUGAGUAUACUGUUGAAACAUUCUUGACAAUGUUCUAUUUCUCUUUUGUAGACUUACAAGGAACACACAGAAGCCCCUAACCAAUUACAUCUCCUUCCUAGGAGUGUGAAUGUGACUGCCAUAGUGCAGCCCAUGCUGCCCCUGGUAAUUAUAUGCCUCAACCCAAGCAGGUGAUUAUGUAUCCUGUGACUACCUCAUGCUCAAGGCUCUUCCAUAUUACACAAACACACACACUCAUACUCAAAAGCAAAACAAAAAUAAAACAAUCUGCUUGAUCCCUGCCCUAUAGAGAUUAGUCUAGUCAGGGAAACAUACAACUAAGCAUUCGAAUACAGUGUAGUGGG